UGGAACAAGGUAAAACAAAAUAAUAUGCAGCAAGGGUAAAAGGGUUCAGAAAUAGGACUUUCUCUUUUUAGUGAUUUUCUUGUAAGCAAACAGACAAGUAACACUAGCACAUGGAAGAUGGUUCAGACAUCACACACAACUCAUGCAACCAAUUAAAGUGACAGCAGCUCACAGGAGAAUAACUACUAACUUAAUAUCCAGCAAAGGAUCACAACAAUUCAACAAGGAUACAUGAGGGUUCAGCAAAGGUGCACAGGUAACAGAGUAAAUUUCAGACCCAACAGUGCAUAUACUCAGAGAACAGGAACAAGAGAAGAGAGAAGUUCAGAGCCUAUGGGUCUUGAUGAUCUUCGAUUCGAAGCUGUAGAUGUUGCAGGCGAAGAAGAGUAGCAGAGGCACAUUGGAGACGAUCUGUAGCAGCAGAAACUUCCGCGUGGAUGUUGAAGAAGAGUAGCGGAGGAGGAUCCUUGGGGUUGAGCUGCAGCGUGGUGAAGAGGACUUGGUGAAGAUCAGCAGCGGAGGGCCCGGCCUUGGGGAGGAAUCGUGGUGGCCUUCGCGGGAGGUCAGCCGACCACCCGAAGCAGAGAACCACCUGGUGUCCGGCGCCCCGCAGGAGAUGCCACGGCGGCGGUCGUCGGAGUUGAAGCAGAGCGGCGCGCGCGUCAAUGUUGGAGCAGAGCGGCACAGGCGUAGGUGUUGGAGACGAGCAGCAGCAGUCGGUCAGGACGGAGAAGCCUCGUAGCGGAACACCAAGAAGUCGUUGGAGAGGAUCAACAACUUCGUUUCUUGAGGUUGGGGAUGAGGAAGUACAGCGGGUCGACAUCGUCGUUGAAGAGGAGCAGUGGAUUCGAUCUGGUUCUCCUUCUCGCUUCCCUCGAUCCCCUUUUCUCCCUCCUCCGAUCUGGUGUUCCUCUGGUUCGAUCUGGUGGUGGGUGAGCAGCGUGGAGAGCGAGAGCAGUCGGCCCCCUGGUUGUUUUUUUCUUCGACCCCCACUCCUCUUCUUGGUGGUUUAGUCGCGCGUGGGAUCAGACACCACGUCUGUUGUGUCGCGCCAGACCCUAGCUCCUUUGGUACUUUUCGGUUUUGCCCCCUCGAGAACUGAACUCUUCUCCAAGUUGAUCCCCGCUUUAGUGUUGAAAGCAUUUUCGACGAAAUUUGGGUGCCUAAACGCACCAGUCCUGCAAAAAAUGAAUAAGUGUUGUAAAAAUAUCACAAUAGGAAUAUUUCUGUAGGAAUGAAUACUUUAUGAGUGAUUACUGAGAUCAUAUGUUUAAUUUGUGACUCAAAAAGGCUAAAAAUACUAUAUGCAUAAAUGUGCUAUCAAUUUCAAUUUCCCCCACACUCAAAUUUUUGCUUGUCCUCAAGCAAAGGAAAAAAUGAUGGUGACACAACUCACACUGCCUAGUAAAGAUGCACUUUCCGAUAGAUAGUAAUUCCGACAAUACUAGAACUAAGCAAGUGUACUCUACUGAAGCUAAAUUGUGAUAAGCAAUAAUUUAUAACACACUGUAAAUGUUCCAUGUCAAUGGCCUUGAGUCAAAGUGCAUCCUAAUAAUCAAGAGCUGGCUCUGUCUUCAGCCCUGAGAUAAGCUAGGACCCCAAAAUAAAUUAGAAAAACAAGUUACUUAUUGAAAUUAAAUCACAAGUGAUGAAAUUAUAUCAGUCUCACCAAAGGAACAUACCACCGAUCCCGAGAACAUGGUAUACACCUGGCUCGACCAAAUUAUUAGUAUAUUUUUUUAUUAUCUCCCCAAAGGAACAUACCACCGAUCCCGAGAACAUGGUAUACACCUGGUUCGACAAAUUAUUAGUAUAUUUUUUGUUAUUAUCUCCCCAAAGGAACAUACCACCGAUCCCGAGAACAUGGUAUACACCUGGUUCGACAAUAAUAGCAUUUUUUAUAUAAUUUGUUUUUACAGUCCAAUCUACCAGAUUUCACAAGCCACCGAUCCAGGGAACAUGACAUGCUACUGUAGGUCGAUCGGACUUAAAUUAUUAUAAUUAUAUUAUUUAGUUAUUAGAAAAUUGCUUAGCUUAAGUAAAACAGGAGUAAUUGAAAGAGGAAUCUAUAGCUAAUGGCACUGUUUUUCACAGACUACAGAUCCAGAGAUCAUAGCUACUACUUAAGUGCCACCAGUUACUUAGCUUAACUUGGGACAGUCAGACAGAGCACAUCAAUUCUUUAGUAGGUUUCACUUAGACUCAAGGCAUUCCCAUUGAACAUUUACAUGGAGGUAUAAAGUAUUCAUUAUCACAAUUUACCAUAAGAAGAAUACAACUGCAUUGUUUUAGUAUUAAGAGAAUCAACAAUCUUCUUGGAGUGAAUCCCACUUUGCAGUGAAGAGUAAGGUGUCACAAUGCAAAAAGAGUUUCAGUGCAAUUAAAUGCCAAUUCUCGUACUAAAUUUUCUAAAGGUUGCUUCAAGUGGAACAGAAUCACCUGGUAUUUGCAUACUCUUCUCUCCUACUUUCUUCUCUCCACUCUUCUCUGUUUGUGUUCCCUGUUUGUGUUCCCCUCGCCUUUAUUUGCUGAAAAAGAAAGACAUAAACACAAAAACUUUUCUAUGAAAAAUAAAUAAGGAAAAAAACUUAUUAAAGAUUCAGGUUGCCUCCUGAAAAGCGCUUGUUUUAGGUCUUUAGCUUGACCAUGUCUCAUCAGUGAGGUCAGGGUCCUGCAGGGGUUGACACCUCUUGGGUCCCCUCGCCUUCUUGAAUUUCCUCCUCUGGGUCUUGAUCUUCGCUUGCAUUCUCAUCUUCAGAAAUAAGAAGUGGAUCUCCAGGGAUGUAGGGCUUCAGUCUUUGACCGUUUACAAGGAAGAGACCUCCAGAAGUACUUUGCACUUGAAUAGCACCAUUUUGCAUAAUCUUCUUCACCUUGCAAGGGCCAUACCAUCUUGACUUGAAUUUACCAGGAAAUAAAUGAAACCUAGUAUCAUAGACCAAUACCAACUGUCCAAGAUGAAAUUCUUUCCUCAAUAUAUGCUUGUCAUGCCAGAUCUUGGUCUUUUCUAUGUAAAUUCUUGCACUCUCGUAAGAGUCAGCUCUCAGUUCUUCCAUUUCACAGAGUUGAAGUUUUCUGUAUUUUCCUGCUGCAUCAAGGUCCAUAUUGAGUUUCCUUAGUGCCCAUUGAGCUUUGUGUUCAAGUUCAACGGGUAGAUAGCAUGCUUUUCAAUAUAUUAACCUGAAUGGUGACAUUCCUAUUGGUGUUUUAUAGGCUGUCCUAUAUGCCCAUAGUGUGUCUGGUAAUUUCAGUACCCAGUCAGACCUUGACUUUGAUACUACCUUCUCGAGAAUGGCCUUUAUUUCUCUAUUAGACAACUCCACUUGUCCAUUUGCUUGCGGGUGAUAUGGAGUUGUAAUUCUGUGAUUAUGAACUCCAUAUUUUGCUAAGAGAGAUUCUAGUUGGGAGUUGUUGAAAUGUGUUCCUCCAUCACUGAUAACAAUCCGUGGCACACCAAAUCUUGGAAAGAUCACUUGCUUGAACAAAUUGCAAACUGACUUGGAAUCAGCAUUGACGGUUGGUACAACCUCAACCCAUUUUGACACAUAGUCCACUGCCACCAAUAUGUAUUUGUACCCUUUUGAUGAUGGCAAGGGUCCAACAUAAUCAAUUCCCCAUACAUCAAAGAGCUCUACUUCAAGAAUUCCUUUUUGAGGCAUCUCUUGCCUUUUUGAAAUCUUUCUAGUUCUCUGACAAGGAUCACAAGCUUCAAUAUAGGAAUGUACAUCCUUGAAUAAAGUUGGCCAGUAAAAUCCCGCUUGCAAAAUUUUCGCUUGAGUCUUCCUAGUACUUGCAUGACCUCCAUAAGGGGAUGAAUGGAAAUGAUAGAUCACACUUUUAGCUUCACCUUCCGGCAAGCAUCUUCGAACAAUGCCAUCAGCACAAUGUUUGAAUAAGUAAGGUUCAUCCCAAAAGAAGUGCUUCAUAUCUGAUAAGAAUUUCUUCUUCUUUUGAUACCCAAAAUCUGUAGGGACUUUGUUACAGACCAUAUAAUUAACUAUAUCUGCAUACCAUGGUGUAUAGUUUUGUAUACUAGUCACUUGCAUAAGAUUGCUCCCUGGUAAAACAUCAUUGAUAGGUAAGGAGUCUACUGCAUUGUUUUGCAACCUCGACAACUGAUCUGCCACAACAUUUUCAGCUCCUUUCUUGUCCUUGAUUUCCACAUCAAAUUCUUGAAGCAAGAGUAUCCAUCUAAUUAACCUUGGCUUGGCUUCUUUCUUGCUGAGUAGAUAUCUAAUUGCAGCGUGGUCUGUGUAAACUACACAAUGAGACCCUACAAGAUAUUGCCUGAAUUUGUCAAAGGCAUACACUACUGCCAACAACUCCUUUUCUGUGGUUGUGUAAUUAGCUUGAGCACCAUCAAGAGUUUUGCUAGCAUAGUAUAUUACAUGCAAAUCUUUUCCUUUUCUUUGUCCCAGUACUGCACCCAUAGCAAAGUCACUUGCGUCACACAUUAUCUCAAAUGGUAAUUCCCAGUCAGGGGGUUGCACUACUAGAGCAGUGACCAAUGCUUCCUUGAGCAAGUUGAAGGAUUUUUCACAUUCUGCAUCAAAGUUGAACUUAACAUCAUUGUUUAGGAGAUUAGUGAGGGGUUUGGCUAUCUUGGAGAAAUCCUUUAUGAAUCUUAUAUAGAACCUAGCAUGUCCCAAAAAGCUCCUUACUCCCUUCACAUUUACAGGUGGUGGAAGUUUUGAUAUUACUUCAACUUUUGCUUGAUCAACCUCAAUUCCUCUUUCAGAUACCAAAUGUCCCAAAAUAGUUCCUUCCUUUACAAGAAACUGACACUUCUCCCAGUUUAAGACUAGAUUGUGUUCUGAACACCUCUGAAGAACUGCUGCCAAAUUAUCCAAGCAAUCCUCAUAACUUUUCCCAAUGACUGUAAUAUCAUCUAUGAACACCUCCACUUUGAUUCCUAUCAUAUCAGAGAAUAUAGAGAGCAUAAACCUUUGAAAUGUUGGGGGUGCAUUACAAAGUCCAUAGGCUAGUCUUUUGUAAGCAAAUGUUCCGUAUGGGCAAGUGAAAGUUGUUUUAUCUUGAUCAUCCGGAUGAAUUGGGAUUUGCAAGAAUCCUGAAUACCCAUCUAAGCAGCAGAAAUAUUCAUGCCCAGCAAGCCUUUUCAGAAUUUGGUCAAUGAAAGGUAAAGGAAAAUGGUCCUUCCUCGUCACUUCAUUUAACUUUCUGAAAUCAUUGACCAUUCUCCACCCUAUGACAGUCCUACUAGGAAUCGUUUGCCCUUGUUCAUUUUCAAUGACAGUUAUUCCUCCUUUCUUGGGCACCAUGUGAAUGGGACUCACCCACUCGCUGUCCGAAAUUGGGUAUAUGAUAUCGGCAGCGAGCAAUUUAAGAAUCUCCUUUUUAACAACCUCUUGCAAAUGGGGAUUUAAUCUUCUUUGACUUUCUCUUAUUGGUACACUUCUUUCUUUCAAGUAAAUCCUAUGAGAGCAGACAGCAGGAUUUAUCCCUUUCAUAUCAUCAAUUGAAUAUCCAAUAACAUCCUUGUACUUUUGCAAAACUGCUUGAAGCCCUUUUAUUUGCCUUUCCGUCAACUCCCUAUUCACGAUAAUUGGCCACUGGUUGUCAUUGUCUAAGAAUGCAUAUUUCAAACUUUCUGGAAGUUGUUUCAUUUCUAUUUGCCUUGGUUGCAUCUUCUCUAGUGGCCUUGUACUGCUUUCCAAUAUGCUCACAUGUCUGAUUUCUUCAUAUCUGAUUUCACUAUUGUCCUCCUCAACUACUUCACAACAAUUACUUCCAUACCUCUCUUCAUAGCCUUCUUCCACACAUUUCUGUAGUGUAUCAAUUCUGUAGCAGUGCUUUUCUUCUUGCGGAACAUGUGUUGCAUGCUUCAUGUCAAACUCCACCUUUUCAUUUCCAAUCCUCAGGCUCAAUUUAGCUUCUUGAACAUCAAUAAGUGCACCAGCUGUGGCCAAAAAUGGUCUUCCAAGGAUCACAGCCUCACUUUUGUCCUCCAAGCACUACAAAGUCAACCGGAUAAUCAAACUUCCCAACUUUGAUUGGAACAUCCUCAAGAAUUCCAACAGGUUUCCUAUAUGUUCUGUCAGCUAACUGAAGAAUUAUGGCUGUUGGAUUUAAUUCUCCCAAGAUCAUCCUUUUGCUAACUGAAUGUGGUAACACACUAACACUUGAGCCCAAAUCACACAGAGCACUGUAAGUUUUGUUUCCAAUCACACAUGGUACACAAAAGCUUCCUGGAUCAUCCAAUUUUUCAGGCAUGGAAUUCCGAAUUAUCGCACUACAUUCCUUUGAUAAAGUCAGUACUUCUGGCUCAGACAUGCUUCUUUUCUUUGUUAGCAAUUCCUUGAAAUAUUUGGCAUACAUUGGAACAUCCGGGACAACUUCAAGAAUAGGAAUGGUAAUCUGAACUCCCUUCAUAGUUUCCAAGAAUUUGGCAAAUUGCUUGUCAUCUUUGGAUUUGUUGAACCGCUCAGGAAAAGGAAUGUUGUUGGUUGUUAUUGCUUCGUCUAGCAAAGGCUCAGCUCUUGUUUGAAAACCAGGAAAUUCGACUUCAGUUUCAAUUCGGUUAUCAACUUCUUUCUCCUUUAGUUUCUUUGAUGAUGUUAAAGGUGGAGUUCCGGAUGAACUUGGCCUAAUAGCAGGAGGGACAUAUGUCUUCGGAGUAGGAAGUAAUGGUCCUGACAUAACUCCACUCCUUGUAGUCACUACAUCAACUGAAGAUAUUGCCCCACAGUGAGCUUUCGGGUUUGGAAUUGGUUGCGCAGGCAGCCUUGCUUCAUUUUCUCCCACCAUACUAUCCAUUUUGCUCACAAGCAUCUUAACAGUAUCCUUUAAGCCAUUCACUUCAUUUGUCAUCUUGCUCAUCAAUUCCAACUGCAUUUUCAUGAUUUCCUCCAUUCCAUUUGACUGAACAUUUUGUUGUUCAUUCUGCCUCGGCACUUGAAAUUGACUUGGAUGAUUUGGUAGUCGAUUUCCUUGUAUUGUCGAUCCACUUGCAUAUGACUGAUUGUUCUUGUACGACAAGUUUGGAUGAUUCCUCCAAGAAGGAUUGUAGCUGUUUGAGAAUGGACCUUGACUUUGGGCAUAACUUACUUCUGAAACCGAUGAUCCAAUUGCUGAAUAGAAGGUACAUUCUGUUGAAGGAUGACCUGCUUGGCCACAUACAUCACACAUUUGAGGCACACUUACUGAAGCUACAGAUGUACCGAUGCAAUUUGACAUGAUACUAUCCAUCUUCUUGUUUAAGAUGUCAAUCUGAGCCACCAUGCUAUCAUUUGCAGACACAUUGUACACACCAGGAUGUGGUGGUUCUAUUGCUCUUUCACUUGACCAUUGGAAAUGAUGAGACGCCAUACUUUCAAUCAAUGCAAAUGCUUCAUCAAGGGUUUUGUUCAUGAUUCCUCCUCCAGCAGCAGAAUCGACAAAAGCUCUAGUCUGAGUAGACAAUCCUUUGUAAAAGGUUUGUAACACCAGCCAUCUUUCUAAACCAUGAUGAGGACACAUUCUGAUUAAAGAGUUGAAUCUUUGCCAUGCGUCAUACAAACUCUCUCCAUCAUAUUGAGUGAACCUUGUUAACUUGUCCCUAUAUUCAGAAGCUUUUGUUGGUGGAAAGUAUCUCUCAAGAAAUGUCUGCAAUAAAGUCUCCCAAGUAUCCUUCAGAUGUUCCGGCAAUGAGUGAAGCCAUACUCUUGCUCCAUCUCUCAAGGAAAAUGGAAAUAGUGAUAAUCUGAUAGCACUCGGUGAAACUCCAUUUUGCUUGAGGGUGUUACAAUACUCCAAGAAAGUCCUUAUAUGCUCAUGUGGGUCUUCUAAAGUUGUUCCACCAAAUCUGGACUGUUGUACCAUGUUAAUCAGAGCAGGCUUCAAUUCAAAAUUGUUCGCCUGAAUAAUUGGUUGCACCAUUUCUCCUGGUAUCCCAUGAUCUCUUGGGAUCCACAAGUCCCUACGCAAAGGUACUGGAUCAGGCAUCUUUUCUUCUUCUUGAUCUUGCAAAGUUUCAGCAACUUGAAACCGUGUUUGAUUCUCUCUUCUUCUUCUCAGUAAAGUCCUUUCAAUUUCUGGAUCAAAUGGCUCUAGUGAAUGUUCAGGUUGAAGCAUAAGACAAUUUCCUGUAAAGUUCCUGAAAUUGACACAUGCUAGUUUUCUCAAAACUGCAGACAAUGUUAGGAAAUGGUUAGUUGCUAGCAAUACUACGCAAUCGACCUAAAAUAAAUCCUGAUCUGCUUCUACUAAUGUGCUAAUGAAAUUUAGAUCCCCGGCAAUGGCGCCAAAAUGAUCGUUUGUAAUAUAGCAGGGUUUUUACGCCCAAACUACGGAUGUCGUAUUCUCCACAAGAAUCUAGAACUUCGGAGCACACAUUUGAAGCAUUCAGAACAACUGAACAAAUGAAUCCAACCGAAGUGACAACAAGCAGCUACUGGAACAAGGUAAAACAAAAUAAUAUGCAGCAAGGGUAAAAGGGUUCAGAAAUAGGACUUUCUCUUUUUAGUGAUUUUCUUGUAAGCAAACAGACAAGUAACACUAGCACAUGGAAGAUGGUUCAGACAUCACACACAACUCAUGCAACCAAUUAAAGUGACAGCAGCUCACAGGAGAAUAACUACUAACUUAAUAUCCUGCAAAGGAUCACAACAAUUCAGCAAGGAUACAUGAGGGUUCAACAAAGGUGCACAGGUAACAGAGUAAAUUUCAGACCCAACAGUGCAUAUACUCAGAGAACAGGAACAAGAGAAGAGAGAAGUUCAGAGCCUAUGGGUCUUGAUGAUCUUCGAUUCGAAGCUGUAGAUGUUGCAGGCGAAGAAGAGUAGCAGAGGCACAUUGGAGACGAUCUGUAGCAGCAGAAACUUCCGCGUGGAUGUUGAAGAAGAGUAGCGGAGGAGGAUCCUUGGGGUUGAGCUGCAGC
rnacentral:lncRNA from 1 species